UUGGAGCACUGCGGAGCACAGCAGGACAACCUCGAGGCCGCCGCCUCACCCGGGCGCAAGGCGAUGACGUCACAGCGUGGGACGACGCGCCUUGGCAGCAUCCAAAGGGGACAGCCGCGCUGAAGCGCGGUUGUUAUGGAUACACAGCCACGCGUGCGCCGUCGUCACGCGGACGGCUGUACGCCGUGCCAUGAAUGAGGGCGCGCCGUCGCCGUCGCAACGCAGCUGAGUGACGUCCUGGCAGAUAGAACAAACCAGGUGUGAGCACUGUCUUUCCAAAGUUACACUGAAGCCGUUGGAGGAAAGGUCGGACCUCAGGCCUUCCCGCGGCACCAACUACUGACGGCGGAUUUGCUCACGGAUCCUUCACAGCUGUUUCAAAGAACCAUUCUGUGAUUCUAUGAUCUUCCAGGACCCUUCCAAGCCACACCAUCCUGUGGUUCUAUCAUCUUCCAGGACUCUUCCAACACAAACCAUUCUAUGGUUCUGUGAUCACUAAGGAACCUCCCAAGCCACGCCGUCCUGCAGUUCUAUGAUCUUCCAGGACCCUUCUGUGCGGGUGAUGUCACAAUGAUGUGAUGACCUCACAGAGGCCCUGGGGUGGGGCAGGGGCAGUGGGUCAGCACUGAACCUGCCGGCCCCAUUCUGCGGUUGGUUCUGGUCCAGCGAGGAGCUGUGCGAGUGGUGCAGUAAUGCGGGUUCAGUUUGGCAGCGGAAUAAUAGCGCAGCAGCGUGUGAAGCUGGUGCAGAAGUUGCUGCAGGCUCAGGAGUGGGCCGAUGAGAAGCGCAAGGCCAAGGCCAGGAAAUCCUUGCUGAAGGAUGCCCAGAAAUUACGGGCAGAAAGAACAGCUGCCAGGAAAGAGAAGCGGAAGCAGGAGAAGCAUCUCGUUGCCCAGCUGGAAGAGCAGCUGCAGGCUGAGACAGAGGCGAUCGAGGUGCUGCGCCUGCAAGAGGAGCGGGAGAAGCUGGAGCUGGAGGGUGCCUGGCAGCAGCAUCAGCUGGAGCUGGAGGCAGCCCACGUGCCUGGGGCUGUGCUGCCGGAGCUGGUGGAGGCAGAGCUGGAGAAGAAGGAGCGGGUGAGGAGACGUGGGCUCGCCUUCUGGAUGAAGACAAUCUGCCUCAUCUUCGUCAGCCUCCAGCUGCUGCUCGUUGCCGUGCUGGGCUCUGCAGUGCUGUAUGCCCAGCACUAUGACCAGGAGCUGUUGUAUCGGCUCCUGCUGCGAGUGCUGCCCCAGGCAAUGUACGCUUCCCCUGGCGUACUUUGCGAGCAGGAGCCUGCGUGUGGUCUGUGAUGGGCUGCUGCCCAUCUGACCGCCCCUCUCAGUCCCCCCUCCCAGCUCGGGGCUGCGUGGUGGGGCGCGGGGAGAGGGCUCUGUCCCCACGGAAGGGGCCUCUCCUGUGCUCCUGCCCCCAGGGGCGCACAGGCACAGCUGUGGGGCAGUGCCGGCAGGCGGCUGAGUGCCACCACUUUGGACUUACAAAUAAGUUUGUACUGUCGUCGUGAGUCGUCGGCUGAACACCACCACCUCCGACGACCCAUCAGACUGAAGAUGUGCACCUGACGCCAGGACGUGGCUUCUUGGAUUCUUUGAGUCUUCGUAGCAGCCAUUUCCUUCAGCUGGUUACCUGUAAGGCUUAUGAAUUGUAAUUAGCUCAUUAGGCAAUGUUACCUCCAGUGGGCUGUUGUCAGUUGUUAAGAACGCUCUCAAUAAAUGGAUGUGUAUU
rnacentral:lncRNA from 1 species